rnacentral:rRNA from 1 species
CCUACGGGAGGCUGCAGUGGGGAAUAUUGCACAAUGGGGGAAACCCUGAUGCAGCAACGCCGCGUGAGCGAUGAAGGCCUUCGGGUCGUAAAGCUCUGUCCUAAGGGAAGAAUACUGACGGUACCUUAGGAGGAAGCCCCGGCUAACUACGUGCCAGCAGCCGCGGUAAUACGUAGGGGGCUAGCGUUAUCCGGAAUUACUGGGCGUAAAGGGUGCGUAGGCGGCCCUUCAAGUCAGCGGGGAAAGGCUACGGCUCAACCGUAGUAAGCCGUGGAAACUGUAGGGCUUGAGUGCGGGGGAGGAGGGUGGAAUUCCCGGGGGAGGGGUGAAGUGCGUAGAUAUUGGGAGGAAGACCAGGUGGGAAGGCGGCUCUCUGGACUGUAACUGGCGCUGAGGGACGGAAGCGUGGGGAGCAAACAGGAUUAGAUACCCCAGUAGUG